UGAAAUCUCAAAGGAGUGUCAUGAGAACACAGAUCCUAUGGUUUCUUUACAUUUUCAUUGAAACCAUUGAGUUUGUGUUCUCAGGUCACCCCUUUGAAUCUCCC
rfam:Arabidopsis lyrata subsp. lyrata unplaced genomic scaffold ARALYscaffold_5, whole genome shotgun sequence.